CAGACUAUCUGCGCGUGCGCACGGCCAGGCGGUUAAAAAUGCGCGGGGACUGCUAGGCUGUGUAGGCCGGUCACAGAAGAUUUUUUAAGCCUCCGUAUUGAUUAUGGUCGACUUCUUUGCAAGAUGGCGUUUGUUGCGGCGAUAAUAUAACUGAUGAGGAUGAAGAGAAGGUGUAAAUGCAUCAGAUGCUAUUAAAAGACAGGCUUUCUACAUGGUUGAAUAGCAUAUAAAAGCAAACAAAGUGGAUGGACUAAAGCAAAAUAAUUGGAAGAGAAGAAUGGGGUGCCAUUAAAAGAUACUACAGAUCUGAAAAGAAGGAGGAUGUUCUAAAACAAGCAAAAGGACUGGAUGAGCUUAAACAAAAAAUAUGGAAAAAAAAAGGAAGAGGAGGCAAAAGGGAAAGAUUUGGGCAGGCAAAGUGUUCACUUGACAGGCGCUUCCAGAAAAACUACUCCCACGAGAACGAGAAGUUACGCAUAUAUAGUAGGACUAGUGGAUCUGGCUGAAAGUACAUUUAGAGAACAUUUCCUGGGCCUUUCUUGGAUUAUCAAAA